UGAGCACUUUAUCCAAGGGUUUCCUCGCCCUGCUAGCUCAGCUUGUUUUCUACAUAAUUACUUGAGCAAACUUUCAGGAGACCGAGGUUGAAAAAAAUCCCAAUUGUUCAAAAUCAUGCACUUAGGAAAUGGGUGACCUGAGUCUAAUAUCCAAGUCUAGGCUUCCAAGUGAAGAUCCUUUAUGGUCUUCGCUUCUAGCCAGAUUCUGCUAAUCGAAUCAGCUGGGGGAAAAUCACUGGGGGAAAAAUGUAACAUGUUGUAGAGCAACUUCCAUGUUUGAAUGAAGUGUGUUCAAGGGAUUAUCCAGGCUCUCCUGGCUCUAUUUCUUUGCUCUCUCAUUCCUAUUAUCUCUUCUCAGUGUUUCAACCCCAUGAAAAAUCUG
rnacentral:lncRNA from 1 species